rnacentral:rRNA from 1 species
UACAGAGGUCUCGAGCGUUGUUCGGAUUCAUUGGGCGUAAAGGGUGCGUAGGCGGUUUGAUAAGUCUUCUGUGAAAUCUACGGGCUUAGCCUGUAACGUGCAGAGGAAACUGUCAGGCUUGAGUGUCGGAGAGGAUAGGGGAAUUCCCGGUGUAGAGGUGAAAUUCGUAGAGAUCGGGAGGAACACCAGUGGCGAAGGCGCCUAUCUGGCUGACAACUGACGCUGAGACUCGAAAGCAUGGGGAGCAAACAGG